rnacentral:rRNA from 1 species
UACGGAGGGUGCAAGCGUUAUCCGGAUUCACUGGGUUUAAAGGGUGCGUAGGUGGGUCUGUAAGUCCGUGGUGAAAUCUCUAGGCUUAACCUGGAAACUGCCAUGGAUACUAUCAGUCUUGAAUACCGUGGAGGUCAGCGGAAUAUGUCAUGUAGCGGUGAAAUGCUUAGAUAUGACAUAGAACACCAAUUGCGAAGGCAGCUGGCUACACGAAUAUUGACACUGAUGCACGAAAGCGUGGGGAUCAAACAGG